rnacentral:rRNA from 1 species
UACGUAGGGGUCGAGCGUUGUCCGGACUUACUGGGCGUAAAGCGUGGGUAGGUGGUCGGUGAUGUGCCGUGUGAAAGCCCCGCGUUCAUCGGGGGAGGUCGCGGUAGACACAUUGACUUGAGGCAUACAGAGGGCCGUGGAAUUCCCGGUGUAGUGGUGAAUGACGUAGAUAUCGGGAGGAACACCAGUGGCGCAAGCGGCGGCCCUGGUAUGACCUGACACUGAGCCACGACGGCGUGGGGAGCAAACAGG